UGCUUUCUGAGUUGUAAGCUUGCUCGUUCUUCUUAAAAAAUACUUUUCUCUUCAUUUUUAAAAUACUAUCCAAGCAUAACACUGCUUUCCUAGGCUACAUCCAAAGCAGAGGCAAGGGGCCUGUCUCCUCCCUAAAAGCCAGAUUACCUGCGUGCAAGUGGAUGCCAGCCAUUGGCUCUGCUAACAGAUGGUGGAGCCGCAAAGCAAAGUAGGCAGUGUCAGGCCCACAGCUGUCAUGUGCACAUCUAACAUGGUUGCCCAUAAACCGUUCGUUUAGAUAGACAUUCACAAAUUCACUCCCUGGCCCUGAUCUGCUGUUGUUGUUAUGUGCUGUCAAAUUCCUUCUCACUUAUUGGAACCCUAAAAAUUAGCAGCCUCCAAAAACUCCUAUCAUCAACAAUCCUGCUGUUUUGUGCUUCUUUUUUCCUGUCUUUACACCCAUCUCCGUUCAGGUGGGGCCAGGGAGUAGUGAUAAUCAAAGAUCAUGUAGGCUGGAAAUACAGGACCUAAGGAUUUUUGCUAGUGCCGGCAAGGCUUCUAAACAUUCCCCAACAGCCUGAUCAUAUCAUGCCUAUCCUGAAGCAAGUUUCUACUGAAUUCACUGGGGACCCUUUUCCUCAUAAAGAAGCCUAGGCUUUUGCCUUAAGUUGCACUGACCUGAUUUCACUGGUGAUUUGUGACCAAAUGAUGGCAGUAAUUCCUUCAGGAGAAGAAAGGAUAGGAAAUGUGCAUUUCAGUGAAUUAUAAGUAAGUAUAUUUUGCAGCUGCUGAGACUCAGCACUUAAUAAUUUCAAUCUCCCAUUUUUAAAGGGCUUGGUUUUUUAAACAAAAAAAAAAACAACUUUUCCAAUCAUUUCUGUUUUUAGUUAUUGUAAGCUGGGUCCGUUUUAUGUUUCCACCAUGUACGAGAAAACAGAGUAUUCACAACUGGUGUCCUUGGAAUAAUACAGUAUAGAGCACAAAGAGGUUUAUUAAUAAACUUAGAGCGGAUGAAAAGAGGAUUCUUCA
rnacentral:lncRNA from 1 species